AGGCGCGAAAACUUUACACUGCGGGCAACCGCGAUAAGGGGACCUCGAGUGCCAGGAUACAAUUCUGGCUGUCGUGAUGCCUAAAAAGCAUUGCAUAGCAAGGGCCGGGCAAGACCGGUGCCAGCCGCCGCGGUAACACCGGCGGCUCGAGUGGUAACCGCUAUUAUUGGGUCUAAAGGGUCUGUAGCCGGCCGGAUAAGUCUCUUGGGAAAUCCGGCAGCUCAACUGUCGGGCUUUCAGGAGAUACUGUUCGGCUCGAGGCCGGAAGAGGUGAGAGGUACUUCAGGGGUAGGGGUGAAAUCUUGUAAUCCUUGAAGGACCACCAGUGGCGAAGGCGUCUCACCAGAACGGACCUGACGGCAAGGGACGAAAGCUGGGGGCACGAACCGGAUUAGAUACCCGGGUAGUCCCAGCCGUAAACGAUACUCGCUAGGUGUCAGCCACGGUGCGACCGUGGUUGGUGCCGUAGGGAAGCCGUGAAGCGAGCCACCUGGGAAGUACGGCCGCAAGGCUGAAACUUAAAGGAAUUGGCGGGGGAGCACUACAACGGGUGGAGCCUGCGGUUUAAUUGGAUUCAACGCCGGGAAGCUUACCGGGACCGACAGCAACAUGAAGGCCAGGCUGAAGACCUUGCUGGAUUAGCUGAGAGGUGGUGCAUGGCCGUCGUCAGUUCGUACUGUGAAGCAUA
rnacentral:rRNA from 1 species